rnacentral:rRNA from 14 species
GGAGAUAUCCGAAUGGGGCAACCCAGAAACAGCCUGUUGAAUAUAUAGACAGGUAUGAGCGAACCUAGCGAACUGAAACAUCUUAGUAGCUAGAGGAAGAGAAAGAAAAAUCGAUUUCCCAAGUAGUGGUGAGCGAACAGGAAAGAGCCUAAACCAGUAGUUUUAAUUACUGGGGUAGUGGGAAAGCGUU